CUCAGGAUGGCCAAGCGACUAAGGCGCUGCGUUCAGGUCGCAGUCCACUCUUUGCUUGGGCGUGGGUUUGAAUCCCACUUCCCCUGAUA